rnacentral:rRNA from 1 species
UACGAAGGGGGCUAGCGUUGUUCGGAAUCACUGGGCGUAAAGCGCGCGUAGGCGGAUUGUUAAGUCAGGGGUGAAAUGCCGAGGCUCAACCUCGGAACUGCCUUUGAUACUGGCAAUCUUGAGUCCGGGAGAGGUGAGUGGAACUCCUAGUGUAGAGGUGAAAUUCGUAGAUAUUAGGAAGAACACCAGUGGCGAAGGCGGCUCACUGGCCCGGAACUGACGCUCAUGCACGACAGCGUGGGGAUCAAACAGG